UACAGAGGUCCCGAGCGUUGUUCGGAUUCACUGGGCGUAAAGGGUGCGUAGGUGGCUUGGUAAGUUUGAUGUGAAAGCUCAGGGCUCAACCCUGAAAUGGCAUUGAAUACUACUGAGCUGGAGGUUUGGAGGGGGGACUGGAAUUCUCGGUGUAGCAGUGAAAUGCGUAGAUAUCGAGAGGAACACCAGUGGCGAAGGCGAGUCCCUGGACAACACCUGACACUGAGGCACGAAAGCUAGGGGAGCAAACAGGAUUAGAAACCCCUGUAGUCC
rnacentral:rRNA from 1 species